GAUGAAGAACGCAGCGAAAUGCGAUAAGUAAUGCGAAUUGCAGAAUUCAGUGAGUCAUCGAAUCUUUGAACGCACAUUGCGCCCUGUGGUAUUCCGCAGGGCAUGCCUGUUCGAGCGUCAUUUCAACCCUCAAGCCCCGCUUGGUGUUGGGCCCCGCCCGCCGUGGCCGGCCCUAAAGACAGUGGCGGCGCCGCCUGGCCCUCAGCGUAGUACAGCUCUCGCUCCAGGGUCCGGCGGCCGCCUGCCAGAACCCCCCCAACUCUGUGGUUGACCUCGGAUCAGGUAGGGAUAACCGCUGAACUUAAGCAUAUCAAUAAGCGGAGG
rnacentral:misc_RNA from 1 species